rnacentral:sRNA from 1 species
CGAUAACCUCGUCGUCUUUGCUGGUAUCAGGUUGAUAAGUGUAAACGGAGCGGCUUAGAUUCAGUGCUUUGCAACUCCGCCUGACACUCAAACCGUACUCUGAUACUAGAUAAUCGACGGUUUCGCGCUUGGCUGCCGGCGUC